rnacentral:rRNA from 1 species
GUAGGUGGUUUGUNGCGUCGUCUGUGAAAUUCCGGGGCUUAACUUCGGGGUGNCAGGCGAUACGGGCAUAACUAGAGUGCUGUAGGGGAGACUGGGAUUCCUGGUGUAGCGGUGGAAUGCGCAGAUAUCAGGAGGAACACCGAUGGCGAAGGCAGGUCUCUGGGCAGUAACUGACGCUGAGGAGCGAAAGCAUGGGGAGCGAACAGGAUUAGAUACCCUGGUAGUCCAUGCUGUAAGCGGUGGGCGUUAGGUGUGGGGACCGGUUUGGUUUCUGUGCCGUAGCUAACGCAUUAAGCGCCCCGCCUGGGGAGUACGGCCGCAAGGCUAAAACUCAAAGGAAUUGACGGGGGCCCGCACAAGCGGCGGAGCAUGUGGAUUAAUUCGAUGCAACGCGAAGAACCUUACCUGGGUUUGACAUGCACCAGACGGUUGUAGAGAUACGUACCUCCCUUUGUGGUUGGUGUGCAGGUGGUGCAUGGUUGUCGUCAACUCGUGUCGUGAGAUGUUGGGUUAAGUCCCGCAACGAGCGCAACCCUUGUCUUAUGUUGCCAGCACUUUGGGUGGGGACUCAUGAGAGACUGCCGGGGUUAACUCGGAGGAAGGUGGGGAUGACGUCAAAUCAUCAUGCCCUUUAUGCCCAGGGCUUCACACAUGCUACAAUGGUUAGUACAACGCGCUGCGAACCUGUGAGGGUGAGCGAAUCGCUGAAAGCUAAUCUCAGUUCGGAUUGGGGUCUGCAACUCGACCCCAUGAAGCCGGAGUCGCUAGUAAUCGCAGAUCAGCAAUGCUGCGGUGAAUACGUUCCCGGGCCUUGUACACACCGCCCGUCACGUCAUGAAAGUUGGUAACACCCGAAGCCCAUGGCCUAACCACCAUUUUUUGGUGGGGGGA